CGGGUGGGAGCAGAUCUUAUUGAG
rnacentral:miRNA from 1 species